rnacentral:rRNA from 1 species
UACGGAGGCAGCAGUGGGGAAUAUUGCACAAUGGGCGCAAGCCUGAUGCAGCCAUGCCGCGUGUAUGAAGAAGGCCUUCGGGUUGUAAAGUACUUUCAGUCGUGAGGAAGGUGUUAAGGUUAAUAACCUUAGCAAUUGACGUUAGCGACAGAAGAAGCACCGGCUAACUCCGUGCCAGCAGCCGCGGUAAUACGGAGGGUGCGAGCGUUAAUCGGAAUUACUGGGCGUAAAGGGCACGCAGGCGGUUAAUUAAGUUGGAUGUGAAAUCCCCGGGCUUAACCUGGGAAUGGCAUUCAAGACUGGUUAGCUAGAGUCUUGUAGAGGGGGUAGAAUUCCAUGUGUAGCGGUGAAAUGCGUAGAGAUGUGGAGGAAUACCGGGUGGCGAAGGCGGCCCCUGGGACAAGACUGACGCUCAUGUGCGAAAGCGUGGGGAGCGAAACAGGGAUUAGAUACC